ensembl:lncRNA
UUUGUUCAACCCUCAUAAAGUCUGUCUGUGUUCAGGUCUGAUGGUAUCUAUGAUAUAUACAGUACUCUGUAAAGCCUCUCCUCCUGUCUGUGGUCAGGUCUGAUGGUAUCUAUGAUAUAUACAGUACUCUGUAAAGCCUCUCCUCCUGUCUGUGGUCAGGUCUGAUGGUAUCUAUGAUAUAUACAGUACUCUGUAAAGCCUCUCCUCCUGUCUGUGGUCAGGUCUGAUGGUAUCUAUGAUAUAUACAGUACUCUGUAAAGCCUCUCCUCCUGUCUGUGGUCAGGUCUGAUGGUAUCUAUGAUAUAUACAGUACUCUGUAAAGUCUCUCAUGGAUUCUUACACUCAGGCAGGCAGGCAGACAGACAGACGAGACAGCCUCUACAACCUACCCUGCUGACCAAACGUCUACAACCUACCCUGCUGGCCAAGCCUCUACAACCUACACUUCUGGCCUAGCCUCUACAACCUACCCUGCUGGCCAAGCCUCUACAACCUACCCUGCUGGCCAAGCCUCUACAACCUACCCUGCUGGCCAAGCCUCUACAGCCUACCCUGCUGGCCAAGCCUCUACAACCUACCCUGCUGACCAAGCCUCUACAACCUACCCUGCUGGCCAAGCCUCUAUAACCUACCCUGCUGGCCAAGCCUCUACAACCUACACUGCUGGCCAAGCCUCUACAACCUACCCUGCAGGCCAAGCCUCUACAACCUACCCUGCUGGCCAAGUCUCUACAACAUAACCUGCUGGCCAACUCUACAACCUACCCUGCUGGCCAAGCCUCUACAACAUAACCUGCUGGCCGAGCCUCUACAACAUAACCUGCUGGCCGAGCCUCUACAACAUAACCUGCUGGCUGAGCCUCUACAACAUAACCUGCUGGCCGAGCCUCUACAACAUAACCUGCUGGCUGAGCCUCUACAACCUACCCUGCUGGCCGAGCCUCUACAACAUAACCUGCUGGCUGAGUCUCUACAACAUAACCUGCUGGCCGAGCCUCUACAACCUACCCUGCUGGCCAAGUCUCCACAACAUAACGUGCUGGCCGAGCCUCUACAACCUACCCUGCUGGCCAAGCCUCUACAACCUACCCUGCUGGCCAAGUCUCUACACUCUACCCUGCUGACCGAGCCUCUACAACCUACCCUGCUAGUCAAGCCUCUACAACCUACCCUGCUGACCAAGCCUCUACAACCUACCCUGCUGGCCAAGCCUCUACAACCUACCCUGCUGGCCGAGCCACAGCUUUGUGGAAAUCACCUGUGGUGCUGUGUGACGUGGUGAGGUUGGACCCAGGUGCAGGGAAGAGACCAGACGAUGAAAAUGUACUCCACCUACCAACCACUCAACACAGCAACCCAAGACUCCACCAACCAACCAUUCAACAGAAAAACCCAAGACUCCACCUACCAACCACUCAACACAGAAACACAAGACUCCACCCACCAACCACUUAACACAGCAACCCAAGACUCCACCUCCCAACCACUCAACACAACAUCCCAAGACUCCACCUCCCAACCACUCAACACAACAACCCAAGACUCCACCUACAAACCACUUUACACAGCAACCCAAGACUCCACUUAGCAACCACUCAACACAGCAACUCAAGACUCCACCUACCAACCACUCAACACAACAACCCAAGACUCCACCUACCAACCACUCAACACAGAAACACAAGAC